CCUACGGGGGGCUGCAGUGGGGAAUAUUGGACAAUGGGGGGAACCCUGAUCCAGCCAUGCCGCGUGUGUGAAGAAGGCCCUCGGGUUGUAAAGCACUUUCAGUGAGGAAGAACGCCUGGUGGUUAAUACCCAUCAGGAAAGACAUCACUCACAGAAGAAGCACCGGCUAACUCCGUGCCAGCAGCCGCGGUAAUACGGAGGGUGCGAGCGUUAAUCGGAAUUACUGGGCGUAAAGCGCGCGUAGGUGGCUUGAUAAGCCGGUUGUGAAAGCCCCGGGCUCAACCUGGGAACGGCAUCCGGAACUGUCAAGCUAGAGUGCAGGAGAGGAAGGUAGAAUUCCCGGUGUAGCGGUGAAAUGCGUAGAGAUCGGGAGGAAUACCAGUGGCGAAGGCGGCCUUCUGGACUGACACUGACACUGAGGUGCGAAAGCGUGGGUAGCAAACAGGAAUAGAUACCCUUGUAGUC
rnacentral:rRNA from 1 species